rnacentral:rRNA from 1 species
AUUGAACGCUGGCGGCAGGCCUAACACAUGCAAGUCGAACGCGUGGCGGACGGGUGAGUAAUGUCUGGGAACCAGCCUGAUGGCGGGGGAUAACUACUGGAAACGGUAGCUAAUACCGCAUACCAUCGGAUGUGCACAGAUGGGAUUAGCUAGUAGGUGGGGUAAAGGCUAACCUAGGCGACGAUCCCUAGCUGGUCUGAGAGGAUGACCUGCACAACUGGAACUGAGACACGGUCCAGACUCCUACGGGAGGCAGCAGUGGGGAAUAUUGCACAAUGGGCGAAAGCCUGAGAGAGCCAUGCCGAGUGUAUGAAGAAGGCCUUCGGGUGGUAAAGUACUUUCAGCAGGGAGGCGUUACCCGCAGAAGAAGCAACGGCUAACUCCGUGCCAGCAGCCGCGGUAAUUC